UUAAGCUCCCAAAACCUCUAUUAGCGAGAAACAGAAACCUCUGUAAGAGAGAGUCGUUUCUCCCUCAUGGACCUCCGUAAGUGAAACUGCUACGUAUCUAUACUUCUAUAAGCGACAGUCGAGCUUUAUUUCUUUAUAUUGUUUAGGAGGAGCAAAUGACAAAACAAAUUAUAAAUUUAACAUCUGCUAUUUUAUGACUCAUUCUUAACUUUCGUGGAGCUUCCUACCAUUGUUUUCUCGUCAAUAUUGAACCUAUUCUGUUUCGUUGAACUAAAUAACCUUGUUAUUUUAUCGCAAUCUUUUCGAAUGGACACGUGUCCCUGUGUACCGUCCUGUUUGUCGGACUUACUCAGUUUAUCGUUAAUCAAUUGCGAAGGAAAGCUUUGUUCUGCAUCAUGUCAAAACGGAAAAUUAAAGUACUGUCAUUAAGUGAUAAACUUAAAAUAGUGAAUGCGUUUGAAUCCGGAAAAUCGCGAAAUGAAAUUCAGAGGGUGCAUAAGCGAGAAACUUGGGUUAGUGAGAAAUCUCUAUAAGCGAGAAUGAGAUUGUGCUCCCUUGAACUCUCGCUUAUCCAGGUUUGAUUGUAUAUACAUUUUUACAAUUGUUGUUUAAAUUUUAUUUAAGAGUUCAAUUAGAAGAUUUAUUGGUAAGUUUUGUUUUUCUUGAAUUUUGCUCUUUAUGGAGCCGCCUGAUGACCUUGGGGGCGGAGAAGUUCCUGGGGUCGGUUAUAAUAUAACAAUCUCCAAUGAAGAAUCUCGAAUGGAAACCGACGGAUCUGUAAAAUCUAGCUGUGGUGCUUGGAAACGUAGAGCCACUGUCAAUAAACAUUGUUGCUUUAUGUGCAAUAAAAAGAGACGAAAUCGGAAACGACAUGAGGGCAAAGAAUUAAAACAAAAUGAAUGUAAUUGCAUUCCAUUAUUUAAUAAUAAUACCAAUAUCCAAACUAGUACUGCUCCCGUGUUCACUGACUCGCAACUAAAUUCGUUCAAUCAAUACAAAAAACCUGAAUCUGUAGCUCGAUUAAUUUAUCAGGCAAGUGAUGCAGCACCAUGUGUUGUUCAUGUGCAAAGAAUACAGCAGAGAAGCGCGGGAAACUCGAUUGCAGACGUACGCGUUUUUCGACUUUUAUAUAAUUUUAUUUUAUUUUUUUUAUUUGGAUCAGUAGUUUAGUGCCGUUUGAUCUAUAUUUGUUUUUUUAAGUUUUAUUUGUUUAAAUUUUAUUUAAGAGUACUGAAUUAGGAGUUUUAUUGGUAAGUUUUUUUUUUCUUAACUUUUGCUCCUUAUGGAGCCGCCUGGGGGCGGAGAUGUCCCUGGGGUCGGUUAUAAUGUAACAAUCUCAAAUGAGGAAUCUGGAACGGAAACCGAUGGAUCUGUAAAAUCUAACAGUGGUGCUCGAAAACGUAGAGCCACUGUCAAUAAGCAUUGCUCUAAUUGCAAUAAAAAAAGACGAAAUCGGAAACGAAAUGAGGGCAAAGAAUUGAAACAAAACGAAUGUGAUUGCAUACCUUUGUUUAAUAAUAACACUAGCACCCAAAGUAGUACUCCUCCCCAGUUCACUGACUCGCAACUGAAUUCCAAUCAGUCCAAUCAGUACAAAAAAUCUGAAUCGGUAGCUCGAUUAACUUAUCAGGCAAGUGAUGCAGCACCAUAUGUUGUUCAUGUGCAAAGAAUACAGCAAACUCCUAAUGACAAUGUUACUGUUGAUCCUAUUGCUUUUGGUCGUUUUUUAAAAAGGAAUUCUAUCCACAACAUUGUUAACGGAGGGUGAAUGAAGUUAGCCCCUCAAAAAAAAUUUUUUUUCCUGUUUUCUACUUAUUUUCUAUUAAUUCGUUUGUUCAUCAUUUGUUCUUGAUUGUUCACUGUUAAUAAUUGUUUGUUCCCCAUUUAUUUAUUUAAAAAAAAAUAUUAAAAAUAUAUCUAAAAGUUAGCCCCUCGAUUGCAAUUUUUAAUAGUUUUUCGUCCUUAAUUACUCGUAAAUAUUCAUUUUCGAUUGUUCUUAUAUAAAAUACGUCUGUUCUCUUUCGAAAUUACUCAUUUUUUGUUUAAUUAAUUGUAUUAGUUGAAUAAAUGUAUACAAAAUAUGUGUACUGCGCAUGCCAUAAGUGUAUAAUCUAUGGCGCAUGCGUCAACUUUAAUGCCUAAACUUUCUACGCGGUUUUAAUCGUGAAAAAAAAACAAUUAUAAAUCCUGAAGGAUCAAUUAAUUGGUAUACAGUUUAAUUAAAAAAUAAAUAAAUAAAAUAAUGAGCAUUCGCGUAAAGUUAGCCCAAAUACAUUUUUUCCAUCCUCCUAUAUACCUAUCGCUAUGAAGGUAUAAAAAAGAUAGGUUAAGAGUUCACAUAGGUAAUAUAAACAAAUAAGUAAAUAUGUUCAUUAUUUAUCUUUCAAGAGAUAAUGUAGGUAUACAUUAUAAUAACAUUUUGACACAGUCGAAAUUAUAUUCCUAACAUUAGUAAAAUAACAUUUUAAUAUUUUUUUUAUAGGUUAUGUAUUGAAAUUGUUGGAAAAUUAUUUCAUGUUUUAGCUGGAAAACUACAUGGAGAAUUAUAUGCAAUACAAGAUAAUGAGCUCCAUUAAAUGAAUUCGAAUGAAACCAAACUGUUUACCAUCCAAAUUCGAUUGUCGGGCAGAUAGAAAACGAAAAUUCACUCAUAGUGAACCUCGGCCUGCAUUUGUGAAACGGCAAAGACUCACUAUUAUCAAGGAAAUUGAAGAGACGACUAAAAAUGAGAUGUGUCGUAUUAUUAUACCUUUGCCAUCUUGUAGUCAAGAUGUCCAGCCACUUGAAAAUAGGUGUAGUAAUGACAAAGCUAUCCAAGUAGCUCCAGCACAGGAACACAAAGGCAAGGCAAGUGUGUAUUGCCACAUCACCCCUUAAUAUAUCUGAAGCAAGUAUAAGUAAACAAUCAGAACCAGCAAAAAAAAAAACUGUUGUUCCUGAGGACAAAUUUGACAGUGAUGAGUCAAAUGCACCAGCAACAGAAGGAUCAACUGUUGACUAUGGGUUAUAGAAGAAGAAGAUUAUAUCAUAUUUAUUUAAAUUAAUAUUAAUGAAUAUUAAUUUAAAUUAUCGUGCAAAAUUCGUGGUCAAAACAUAUGUGUAUUUUAUAAAUAAAUAUUCAUUCUCAGUA